ACAAUGAAGAGUUUGAUCCUGGCUCAGGAUGAACGCUAGCGGCAGGCCUAACACAUGCAAGCCGAGGGGCAGCGCGGGGUGGCAACACUCUGGCGGCGACCGGCGGAAGGGUGCGUAACACGUGAGCAACAUUCCCGGAUCAGGGACAUAACCCGGAGAAAUCCGGACUAAUUUCCCAUGGUCCUCCAGGGGGACAUCCCACUGGAGGUAAAGAUUCGUCGGAUCCGGAUUGGCUCGCGGGACAUUAGCUUGACGGCGGGGUAACGGCCCACCGUGGCUACGAUGUCUAGGGGCUCUGAGAGGAGUGACCCCCACA
rnacentral:rRNA from 1 species